rnacentral:rRNA from 1 species
AGAGCGAACGCUGGCGGCAGGCCUAACACAUGCAAGUCGAACGGAACCUUCGGGUUCAGUGGCGGACGGGUGAGUAACACGUGGGAACGUGCCUUUUGGUUCGGAAUAACUCAGGGAAACUUGUGCUAAUACCGAAUGUGCCCUUCGGGGGAAAGAUUUAUCGCCAAAAGAGCGGCCCGCGUCUGAUUAGCUAGUUGGUGGGGUAAAGGCCCACCAAGGCUACGAUCAGUAGCUGGUCUGAGAGGAUGAUCAGCCUCACUGGGACUGAGACACGGCCCCAGACUCCUACGGGAGGCAGCAGUGGGGAAUAUUGGACAAUGGGCGCAAGCCUGAUCCAGCCAUGCCGCGUGGGUGAUGAAGGCCCUAGGGUUGUAAAGCCCUUUCGGCGGGGAAGAUAAUGACGGUACCGCAGAAGAGCCCGGCUAACUUCGUGCCAGCAGCCGC